UGGGGAAUUGUUCACAAUGGGCGCAAGCCUGAUGACGCAACGCCGCGUGGAGGAUGAAGGUCUUCGGAUUGUAAACUCCUGUUGCUCGGGACGAAAAGCUCCGACCUAACACGUCGGAGUCUGACGGUACCGGGUGAGGAAGCCCCGGCUAACUCUGUGCCAGCAGCCGCGGUAAUACAGAGGGGGCAAGCGUUGUUCGGAAUUACUGGGCGUAAAGGGCGCGUAGGCGGCCUGUUAAGUCGAACGUGAAAUCCCCGGGCUCAACCCGGGAACUGCGUCCGAUACUGGCAGGCUUGAAUCCGGGAGAGGGAUGUGGAAUUCCAGGUGUAGCGGUGAAAUGCGUAGAUAUCUGGAGGAACACCGGUGGCGAAGGCGGCAUCCUGGACCGGUAUUGACGCUGAGGCGCGAAAGCCAGGGGAGCAAACGGG
rnacentral:rRNA from 1 species